GACGAACGCUGGCGGCGUGCUUAACACAUGCAAGUCGAGCGGUAAGGCCCUUUCGGGGGUACACGAGCGGCGAACGGGUGAGUAACACGUGGGUGACCUGCCCUCAGCUCUGGGAUAAGCCUGGGAAACCGGGUCUAAUACCGGAUAUGACUCCAUGACGCAUGUUGUGGGGUGGAAAGCCUUGUGCGGCUGAGGAUGGGCCCGCGGCCUAUCAGCUUGUUGGUGGGGUGANGGCCUACCAAGGCGACGACGGGUAGCCGGCCUGAGAGGGCGACCGGCCACACUGGGACUGAGACACGGCCCAGACUCCUACGGGAGGCAGCAGUGGGGAAUCUUGCGCAAUGGGCGAAAGCCUGACGCAGCGACACCGCGUGA
rnacentral:rRNA from 1 species